UCAUCAUAAAUUGCAGUGACAGAGCGAGGAGUAAUCUGCUGAGUUAAACACUUCGAAACAAUCAUAAAACAGAAAUUCAGAAGGGAUACAAACAUUUAACAUGACGUAACUAACAACACUGUAUAGCAGGAGCAACAAAGUAUUCCCAGAAAAGAUGAAACAUGAGAGAUCAAAGUUUGAUUAUACUAUAGAGAUGAGAAAUUUGGUUAACUCAUACGAAUUUUGAUGAUGCCUAGUGACUUACAUUACAAGCUGAUAGCCCUAUACUAUUCUUAGGUAGUCAUAAUAGAGAAGAAAGAUUUUCACGUAUUGCAUAUUAACGACAACUGAAACGGAGAGGAGAGGACUUCAUGUUGGUCUCUUAACUAAAGAGCUUUAACAGACUUAAAGUCUAGGCUGACAAGAACUUGACAGAAACUUCUAAAGUAUCGAAUAUGCGUAAAUACUAUAAAUAACUUAGCUAUUUUAGCAAAUAAAAUGGAGUUCUAAUGAACAAAAAAACACAGAUUUAUUAUGUGUCAACACUCUUGAGAGAAAAGCAGUAGUCUAAUCCAAUAUUUAAAAAUCUAUUCUAAUUUGAGUACUUCCACACUACCAUCCAUAAGAAGACCAACAGAAGAGAGGAAAUCGAUUCCAUAUUGAAAAAUUGAAACAGUAGCAGGUGAAGGACUGAUUUUAAGCGCUAGAAAUGAUCAUUUAUACAAAGCUUGGUUGUACUGGAAGGAGUAAACAAAAUUUAGAAUUGACACUCCUCAAACUUUAAAUGGAAUCUGACUUGCGAAACAACAAAAUAACUCAUGAGAUAUCUAAGGUGCAACACCUUGGCCUAAACUUGGAUAUCACUUAGCAGCAGAGAGCAACACAAAUCAAGCUAGCUAAACAUUCCACGAAAUUCAUAUGUAAAACUCAGAAUUAGUAACAUAGGCAGGUGUGAUGUCUUCUAAGCUGAUUUCAACUCGAAUUUUCAUUAACAACACAAGCAGAUACAAAUUUUUAUGGUUUAGAGACAACCAGUUAAAGUGCAAAUCUUAGGACAAGAAAGCAGACCAUAUAAUUUUUUUUUCACAUGGGACUGAUUUAACCAAAUCGUAACCGUAGUAGCUAAGUUCAAAUAGAGAGCAAACUCCUCAACUCGACCUUUAAUCUCAUAACAUUACACUCUUAGUUACAUGAACAUGUAAAAAUUUCAAACAAGAAUAGUGAACUGAUUUCAAUUAUAUAGAUGAAAAAAAUAGCGAUUCGACUUGAGUUUAGUGCCUAAAAUUAGUUUAUGUGUACACAAUACAUAGAGGUAGUAUUUACAUUUAGAGAAAUAAAAACACACACAUAAUCAGAUUGGUAAAUCAACAGUCCCUCUCAUUGACACUAAUCUUUACUAACGUUUUUUUUUUAUAAUUGAACGAAUUUAGAUGGGGCAAAAUUGAGAUAACGACACAAAACUAUAUUCUUAUUUCCAGAAAUCGAAAACAAAAUGUAAGACGAGGGUGAUUACUGACCUUGUGUAGAGAAGCAAACUAAGGCUUUGACGCAAGAGAUUUCGACUCUAAACUUCCUCGAAACUCGAAUUCAAAACAGAAAACAAAAAACAAAGUGACAAAAAGAGAACUUUGAACUCUAAAAAAAAACUUGAAGUGGCUGCAAUUUUUGCUCUUUUUUGAUCGAUUCUUGGGAUCUUUUUCGAUCGUUGCUGGAUGAUCCUUAUGAGAACCAAAUGGGUUCCCUUUUAUAUCCAAUUUGAGAUCCAAGAAUUCAAAAUAUGAAUUCUUGGAAACGUAAAUCUCAGAGGAAACAAAAAAGAAAUCAUGAAGGGGACGACGAAAUCUCUCAAGAAUCGACCUUUUCAAGUCUAUUUGAGAGGGUGAGUGAUUGAUGGGGCAUUUUUCCGGUGGCCCAGACCCCUUUCUCUGAUGGAGGAGAUGGGAGAGCAAGUGGGGCAGCCAUGGGCGGUGAUGGGAGAGGAGCCUGAGGCGUCUGUGGAGAAGACGUAGCUAGCAUAGGGGUCUGAGGAAGAAGCGUGAUUUCUGGAAAAAAGGAGGAACAUGGAGGUGAUCUUUGGAGAAGAUGAAGGGGGAGGGGUGAACGUGAUUUUUUGGAAAAAGAAAAGGAUAGGGCGUCGGUAGGGGUCUAAAAGUCUUAAUUAAUCUAGGUCGUCUGAUUGUUUGAUCGGACGGUUAAUAAAAAUGGAAGGUUUAAAAAUAAUAAUAUAUAUAUAUAUAUAUAUAGAUAUAUAUAUAGAUGGAGAGAGAGAGGGGAUGCAAAAAGGUUGGGAAAGAGAGACAAGAAUGACAUAUAAACGCUGGAUUGAUUAGGUUUUCCCCUUGUUGGCUGUGCCCUGUGGGGUAACUAAACUGACUUUUCAUAAAUAUAGCUCCACAAAUUAAAGACACAUUUAAUUAGCUCUACAUUUCGAAUUUAUUAUUUCAACUCUUACUCUUGAGAAUACUGAUACAUAAGAAAAUAAUAAAGAGAAUUCAUAAUACAUUAUUAAAAAAUGAAAAUUUAUUUAUACUGUGUAAUUUUUGACAAUGAAAUUUGCUUUCGUCACUAUUUUUUUUUUAAUAAAUAAUUAAUUGUGAACUGCAUAAUCAUGAAAAAGUACUUUUAAAUUGAUACGAACAAUGAAUUAGAAUAAUUUAAUCAAACUUUUCUUAAUUCAACAAAUAAAAAAACAUGACAAAGUAUUUCAGAACGAAAAAGCAGUGAUAUUGUAAACAAUCAAUCAGAUUGAUUUUUUAAUGAUUUAAUGGAAAGACAUAGUUGAAGUGAGUGUUGAGAUAUUGGCCAUUAUUAUUAUUAUUAUUUUUAUUUUAUGAUAUAUGAAUGACACAAUCCAAUUUAGGCGACCACCAAAAUAUACUUUCAGCAACAACUUAGCAAAAACUGUUUAUGGAGUUAUGGCCGAACUCUGCCUUCUGAGAUGCCUACAUAUCUCAGGUUUCAUGAGAAAUCAUGCCAUAUGUAGUUCGAGAGUGUAAGAGCAUAGCAAAUUUUGAUCAAAAUUUGCCCAGUAUCGAAUUAUGGUAAUACAGAAAUUUUGGUGGUGAGAUAUGAAUAAAUUAGCACCAAUAGAGGGACAGGACACAGUUCUUAAGAAACUCGAAUGAGAAAUGCUUCAUAGACAUUUCUACUAAAGACUUAUGGUAGAGAGAUGAAUUUUCAAAAAAAUUGCCCAGUGUUGAGUUAUAAUGAACUGAGACAUGAAAGAGUUAUAAGUAAGAUUUAAAUCUGAACUUCUGAAGAUCGAGCCGAGUUAAGUUUUGAAAGUGAAUCCUUGACGUAGCUAGUGAUGCUUGUCAUUGCACUAACUUGCCCUAGUUUGUUGCUUAGAGGGAGUUCCUCGUUGUAAUGCGUUGUCCUACAAAACAUGUAAAAGGGUGAAAAGUACAUGUUGCGGUUCAAAAUUAUAAAUUGAAAUAGUAAUGUAAGGAGUAGAGUGUAGAUGUUCAAACGAUUGUUGAUUUCUCCUUUCUGUGCUAUGAAUGUGAUGUAGGUAAAGUAACUUGUAAUGUAGAGGCCUCCGACUGGCGGGGCUGUUGUAAUGUAAAACCCUGCAUCUGGCUGUGUAAAGCUUGUAAUGUAAAGCCUCCGACUAGCGGAGUUGUUGUAAUGUAAGAGCCAUGUAUCUGGCUGUGUAAAAACUUGUAACGUAACAUUUCAUUAUUGGCGUAUGACAACGUCGUUAUGCUUGCAUGCCCCCAAUCGGUGGAGCUUUGGUGACGUCACUACGAUGUUAGCCUCCAAUUGAUAGAGUGUUGCUUGUUUUGCUUAUAUACAGGCUCUGAUUUGGCGAAGUUCGAUCUAUGUUUACUAUGUACAGCCUCUGGUUGGCGGAGUUUGACGAUGUUUGACGGUGGUCUCCGAUUGGCAGAGUUGUUGAUGAGGUUAGAUUACAAGCUCUAGUUGGUGGAGUUAUUUUGACAGAAAGCUAAUUAUCCUAUUUUCCUACGAGAAUCCUCUUUUCUUCGGUAUUUGGUCUAGAUCUUGAGCAUACCUGUAAAGAUUUAAAUAAAAUAUUCUUAGACAUAAUAUGUAGGUUGAAGUAUUUUUAGGAAAUAAAGUAGGGAAAGAGUAUUUUGGCUCAUGAUUGUGAGAAGUCGAAUGGCGCCUCCGGUCGUGCGGUAUUUGGUCUAGAUCUUGAGCAUACCUGUAAAGAUUUAAAUAAAAUAUUCUUAGACAUAAUAUGUAGGUUGAAGUAUUUUUAGGAAAUAAAGUAGGGAAAGAGUAUUUUGGCUCAUGAUUGUGGAAAGUCGAAUGGCGCCUCCGGUCGUGCCUCGAGGCUUGAUGUUAUCUUUCUUGAUUCCUGCACCCAAAGAAAAAUUUUAGUUUGGGAGGGGGUGUUGAUUUGUAUCGACUCGCGGACUGAAGCCUCAUCACUGGAAUCCUUCGGCAUUUUCUUUGUCCCGCACCUAGUUCCUUAACCUAGAGACUUGGCAGUUGGAAAUUUUUUUAGCUUGUUUUUCUAGCAAAUAAGUAUAUUGUGUAUAUAUUAGGUAUAUAUAUAUAUAUAUAUAUAUAUAGUAAUUCUCUAGCGUUUUUAGAUUAUAACAUGUUCCGAAGUCCAUCGAGCUUUCCAUUUUGUUGACUAUAUCCAACAUAGUCUUCUUGUAGCUUUUACUCUCUUGAUGAAGCUUCCCUAGAUCUUUUGCAGGCACUGCGACGAUCGAGAUUCUUCAUAUUCUGAGGUUAGGCUAACUAUGAGGAAGUGUUCCUAAGGGUAGGAAAAAUUAAUGCAGUGCAUUGAUCGAGCUUGACUCAUGCUGCCUACGUAUCCCCAAAGUAGGAAUCAGAUUGUAACGUAGUUCGAAUACAAGUGGGAGACAUAGAAGUAUGUAAUGCAAUGACCGACCUUGACUCAAGCUGCCUACAUAUCCAAGUGGAAUCAGGUCGUAACGUAGUUCGAUACAAUAGAAAAGAGGAAAAUGCAGGGGAAAAGUAAGAAUAUGUAAUACAAUGACCGAGCCUGACGUAGGCUACCUAUGUAUCCAAACGGAAUCAGGUCUGAACCUAGUUCAAUUACAAUAGGGAGAGUGAAAAACAUAAAAUGAAAUGACCGGGCUUGACUUACGCUGCCUGCGUAUCCAAGCGGAAUUAGGUCAAGACGUAAUUCAAAUACAAUAGGAAAAAGGGAAAAUAUAAAAUGGAAUGAUCGGGCCUGACUCAGGCUGCCUACCUAUCCAAGCAGAAUCAGGUCAGGACGUAGUUCAAAUACAAAAGGAAAGUGAAAAAUAUGAAAUGCAAGGGACCGAAUCCGACAAGGAUUUCCCAUGUAUCCCACCGAGGGAAUUCAGGUCGUGUGUAGUUCUAAAUACAUGGAAAUGAUGUUUUUGGGUUUUCUAAGGAAGACCGGAUCCGAUGUGGGUUGCCUACGUACCCCGCCGUGGAAAGUCAGGUCUAGACGUAGUUCUGUUACAUNNNNNNNNNNNNNNNNNNNNNNNNNNNNNNNNNNNNNNNNNNNNNNNNNNNNNNNNNNNNNNNNNNNNNNNNNNNNNNNNNNNNNNNNNNNNNNNNNNNNNNNNNNNNNNNNNNNNNNNNNNNNNNNNNNNNNNNNNNNNNNNNNNNNNNNNNNNNNNNNNNNNNNNNNNNNNNNNNNNNNNNNNNNNNNNNNNNNNNNNNNNNNNNNNNNNNNNNNNNNNNNNNNNNNNNNNNNNNNNNNNNNNNNNNNNNNNNNNNNNNNNNNNNNNNNNNNNNNNNNNNNNNNNNNNNNNNNNNNNNNNNNNNNNNNNNNNNNNNNNNNNNNNNNNNNNNNNNNNNNNNNNNNNNNNNNNNNNNNNNNNNNNNNNNNNNNNNNNNNNNNNNNNNNNNNNNNNNNNNNNNNNNNNNNNNNNNNNNNNNNNNNNNNNNNNNNNNNNNNNNNNNNNNNNNNNNNNNNNNNNNNNNNNNNNNNNNNNNNNNNNNNNNNNNNNNNNNNNNNNNNNNNNNNNNNNNNNNNNNNNNNNNNNNNNNNNNNNNNNNNNNNNNNNNNNNNNNNNNNNNNNNNNNNNNNNNNNNNNNNNNNNNNNNNNNNNNNNNNNNNNNNNNNNNNNNNNNNNNNNNNNNNNNNNNNNNNNNNNNNNNNNNNNNNNNNNNNNNNNNNNNNNNNNNNNNNNNNNNNNNNNNNNNNNNNNNNNNNNNNNNNNNNNNNNNNNNNNNNNNNNNNNNNNNNNNNNNNNNNNNNNNNNNNNNNNNNNNNNNNNNNNNNNNNNNNNNNNNNNNNNNNNNNNNNNNNNNNNNNNNNNNNNNNNNNNNNNNNNNNNNNNNNNNNNNNNNNNNNNNNNNNNNNNNNNNNNNNNNNNNNNNNNNNNNNNNNNNNNNNNNNNNNNNNNNNNNNNNNNNNNNNNNNNNNNNNNNNNNNNNNNNNNNNNNNNNNNNNNNNNNNNNNNNNNNNNNNNNNNNNNNNNNNNNNNNNNNNNNNNNNNNNNNNNNNNNNNNNNNNNNNNNNNNNNNNNNNNNNNNNNNNNNNNNNNNNNNNNNNNNNNNNNNNNNNNNNNNNNNNNNNNNNNNNNNNGAUGUAAUUCUUGUCUGGGUGUUGAAUCAUCGAGGACAAUGUUGCCAAAGCAUCGGCAAACUCAUUUUGAGCUCGAGGGGGAUGCUUGAACUCAAUCCUUGUGAAUCUCCUACUCAACUCUUUUAUGUAAUGCAAAUAAGACAGGAUCUUGAUAUUCUUAGCGGUCCAUUCUCCUUGCACCAGAUGAACCAAUAAGUCAGAAUCUCUCAUCACCAAGAGUUCUUUGAUGUUCAUGUCGAUGGCCAUCCUGAGUCUAAGAAUACAAGCUUCAUAUUCCGCCAUGUUAUUGGUACAUUAGAACCUAAUCUUGGCUGAGAUUGGGUAAUACUAACCUGUUUCCGAAAUUAAGACUGCUUUUAUUCCAACUCCAAUCGAGUAUGAUGCUCCAUAAAAAAAUAUCCUCCAUCCAUCAUACGACUCUGAUAUGUCUUCUCCUACAAACAAAACAUCUUCAUCAGGGAAGUAGGUCGUGAGUGGCUUGUAAUCUUGGUCCAUCGGGCUUUCUGCGAGGUGAUCGGCCAGGGCUUGUCCUUUGAUGGCCUUCUGUGUCACGUACACGAUAUCAAACUUGCUCAACAAAAUUUACCACAUUGCCAUCUUACUUGUAGGCAUUGGUUUCUGAAAGAUGUACUUGAGUGGAUCCAUUCUUGAGAUCAAGUACGUGGUGUAUGCAGACAAGUAAUGCCUAAAUUUUUGCGCAAUCCAAGUCAAAGCACAACAUGUUCGUUCCAAAAAGGUGUAUCUUGCCUCGUAUAGUGUGAACUUCUUGCUCAAAUAGUAAAUAGCUUGCUUUCUUCUACCUAUCUCAUCAUGCUGCCCCAAUACACAUCCAAAUGCAUUAUCCAUGACAGAUAGGUAUAAUAACAAAGGCUUUCCAGGCUCUGGUGGGACCAAUACUAGUGGGUUGGACAAGUAUUCUUUGAUUCUAUCGGAAGCCUUUUGGCAUUCCUCUGUCCAUUUCGUGGUAGCAUCCUUCUUUAGUAAUUUGAAUAUGGGUUCAUAGAUCACUGUAGAUUGAGCUAUGAACUGACUCAUGUAAUUCAGUCUUCCCAAGAAACUCAUCACGUCCUUCCUAGUCUUGGGUGGAGGUAGCUCUUGGAUUGCCUUUAUUUUUGAUGGAUCCAACUCUAUGCCUUUCUUGCUAACGAUGAAUCCCAAUUGUUUUCCCGCGGGUACUCCAAAUGCACACUUUGCUGGAUUCAACUUCAGAUUGUACUUACGCAACCUCUCAAAGAACUUUCGUAAGUCAUCUAAGUGGUUUGAACUUCUUUUGGAUUUGAUAACGACAUCGUCCACGUACACUUCAAUUUCCUUGUGGAUCAUAUCAUGAAAACGGGUAGUCAUGGCCCUCAUGUAGGUUGCACCGAAAUUUUUGAGACCAAAUGGCAUUACUCUGUAGCAAUACACUCCCCAUGGAGUGAUAAAUGCUGUCUUUUCUGCAUCAUCUUCAUCUAUCAGAAUUUGGUGAUAUCCUGCAAAGCAAUCGACAAAUGAUUGCAACUCAUGUUUUGCACAAUUAUCAAUGUGUAUAUGAAUAUUUAGAAGUGGGAAGUCAUCCUUAGGACUGGCUUUAUUGAGAUCUCGAUAGUCCACACAUAUUCUGAUCUUUCCAUCCUUUUUUGGCACAGGCACAAUGUUGGCUAACCAUGUGGGUAGUUUGUGACCCUCACAACGUUCGCCUCGAUUUGCUUAGUUACCUCCUCCUUGAUCCUUAAACUCAAAUCCGGCUUAAACUUUCUUGUCUUUUGCUUAACGGGUAGACAAGUGGGAUCAAUUGGUAAUACGUCAACAUACUGCUUAAGCAACUCUAUUAACUCUUAUUUUCUUUCAACCUCCAAAUGUAUGUUGACUCGUGUUUCCUUCACAAUUUCCUCAUCUCCUAAGUUGACAACCUCUGUUUCAUCCAUAUUGGGUUUUCUGACUUUUCACUUGCUCGAUCUCAUGUGGUAGAUUUUCAGGCAUCAUGCUUUCAUCGUACUCUUCGUGAUCUUGUUCAUCACUUUCACCUUGCUCGGUAGAUUUGUUAUAUGUCAUAACCGUUGAAAGAAGAUUUUUAUUAAUAUGAGCGCUGAAAAGUGCAAAAUGUCAGUAAAAUUAAAUAGAUAUUUAAAACAACGAGAAAUUUUUUAAAGAAAAAUAAAAACUUUUGUUUCAAAGCAUUAUAGCUUUUAAAAGAGGCAAGCAACAAAAGAUUAGGCAUGAUUUAAGCCUCAAUUUGAUCAUGCGAAUUUUGAAAUAAAAACUUUUUUUCCACACUACCAGGACUCCGGUUGAAACAGGGAUGGGCUGAUGGUCCAAUUCUGCAAGAUUUCUCCAAGUUCGGCAUCACGAAUAGUCAAUUUGCUAAGAUUUAUCUCUUCCUCUUCUCCAGCAAUGGGCACGAACAUAUAUCCUACUCCUUCUACAUGUGAUCAUCACUAGCUUGAUCUGGAAUAAAAGCCUUUUCUGGUACAAAUAUUGUAUUGCUUUUCCCCUGGUGUACUCUUCUCGAGGCAGGCUCAUAUCCGAGUCCGUUGGUGCCUCUCUGAUGCUUCAGCUGGAUUGGCUCAACUAUGCCAUUGGACUUUGGCCCAAGUCCACUCUUUGGCUGAUACCCAUACUUUAACAUCUCUAACGUAACCAUUUUUGCUGCACUUGACAAUUUUGUAUCAUCUGGCUCUGCUUCCUCAUUGACCCUUACAACUUACAUGAUUUCCAAAGUGUGAAAAGUGGCUCCAUCUAACUCGUCAGCGAUCGGAAUAGAAUUAACAGAAAUAAUAGGGUGACUGAGCUCCCCGUGAAUAGUAAUCUCUGUGCAACCCCAUUCAAACUUUACACACUGAUGAAGGGUGGAAGGAACUGCUCUUGCCAUGUGAACCCAUGGUCUUCCCAACAACAGGUUGUAGUUGGAUGAUACAUCCAUUACUUGAAAUAGAAUGGGGAAUUCAGUUGGCCUCACCUGCAAUGUGAGAUAGAUCUCUCCAGUGACACUUCUUUGCGCUCCAUCAAAAUCUCUAAGUUUCACACGACUUUCCCUUAUCUCUCCCAUAUUCACACCCAAAUCCCUCAGAGUGGUGAAAGGACAGAUGUUGCAUCCAGAACCACCAUCAAUUAGAACUCUAGUCACAAUCUUAUCACCACAUUUGACUGUGAAGUGAAACGUUUUGUUGUGCCGAGCCCCUUCUGCAGGCAGUUCAUCAUCAUGGAAAGAAACCUUGUUAGCUUCCACUAUUCUUCCAAUCGUUGAAGCUAAGGUUUCACUUGUGGUCUCUUUUGGAAUGUUCACUCCGUCUAACACUUCCAUUAAAGCAUUCCUAUGAGCUUCAGAACUCAUAAGCAGAGACAAAAUGGAUAUGUGGGCUGGCGUCUUCUUCAGCUGCUCUUCGACUGAAUAGUCUUUAGGCUGCAUCUUUUUCCAAAAUUUUACGGCUUCAGUAUCGGUAAUAUUCUUCUUUGGAUUCUAUUCUUUUCCAAGAACUCUUUGAUUUAGAUCUUUUGGGGCAUAACGCCUCCCCGACCUAGUCAUCCCUUGAGCCACGACAGUGUUGAUCAUCUUGCCCUUGGCGCAUGCUCAAUUGUCCCAUGGGACUGCUUUGGUGUCAUAUUCAGGCUUUCUAGCUAUUAGAGUGGUCACUACAACUCUUGGGAGAUAUGUUUGGACAGUCAGAGGUUCCCUUAGUUGAACAGUGCUAACAGGUUGUGCCGAAGAUGUCAUGGCAUCUGGUUCAUCUAUGUCUAGACAGUCAGGGCCCCCAUAUUCUUCAUCUAGAGUAACCAUGUUGACUUCUCAAUUCUCAAGAUUUGGCAUGGGUUUUUUGUUUACAUUGGGAGGCGCUGGAGUGCAUUUGAUUACUCCUCUCUUGAUCAAAGACUCAAUUUGGUUCUUCAAACCAUAACAAUCUUCCAUGUCAUGUCCUUGGAUAACCGAGUGGUAAGUGCAUCGCUUGUUUCUAUCGAAGUUACGAGGGAUUGGAUAGGGAAGUUUUCCUUCAACUGGUUGCAACACUCCUACUGUCCUCAACCUCUCAAACAAUUGGGCAUAAGGUUCGGCAAUAAGUGUGUAAACACAAGCAUUUCAAGCUUCGAGAUUUGGACGUGGUCUCGGUGCAUAUGCUGGUCUAUUUUGGUGGAUUGGUGCUUGGAUAAGGACGUACAGUCUUGGAGGAUUUUGGUAUGCUGGUGCUCGGGGAGGAUUAUAGUGUGGUUGGGUAUUAUAUACUUGGUAUGGGACGUAUGUGCAACAAAUUGGGGAUUGUUGGGGUAUUGGUGGGAUGGUUCCUCCAUGUUGGUAAGUGAUAGCUGAAACAUCCUCCCUUUUCUUUUUAAUGCCGCCAAUGGAACCCGAUUGUAUAGCCCUACUUGCAUCUUGCAAUGCGACCAUAGGCUGAAUCUUUCUGAAUUUAACACCCUCAUCUAUAAAGUCUCCCAUCUUGACCAAUUCUGCGAACUUCUGGCCCAUCAUUGACAUCAUCUUAUCAAAGUAGACACCUUCUUGAGCUCGAAUAAAGUACUUCGAGAGCUCACUCUCAUCUAGUGGUGGUUGCACCUUUGCGGCUUCAGUUCCCUAACGUCGUGCGUACUAUUGGAAAUUCUCUAAUGACUUCUUCUAUAUGUUGUCCAAUGAGAAUCCGUCAGCAGUAAUUUCAGUAUUGAAUUUGAAAUGAGUCAAGAAGUCCUCAACCAUUUCCUGCCAGUUACGCCAUUUUUUAGGGUCAUGGCGUGUAUACUAGGCGAUUGUUUCUCCAAAUAGACUCCGGAUGAACAACUUCAUCCUCAGCUUCUCAUUUCUCCCUACACAGACUAACUUGUCACAGUACGCCUUUAAAUGUGCGUGAGGGUCACCUUUUCCAUCGAACAUGUUAAACUUUGGUGGUUUGUACCCUACCAACAUGUCAAUGUCUGGAUGGAUGCACAAGUUAUCAUAAUUAAGGCUUUCCGUCCCCCUAGUGACUUGUAAGCUUUUCAAUGCCUUUCUUAGGUCAUGUAGUUGGGAAUUUAUCGAUGCAUCCUCUUUCAACCGAGCAUCUUUCUCCAUUUCUGCAUAUUGAUCAACCUCGUACGGGAUAUUAACCACAGUUGGCGUUGUGAAGGUAGGAGCUCCGGUGGUAUAUACAAGUGGAACAUGUGGCUCAUAGGGAGUGGUGACAUGUGCCCCAAGUAUCUGCUGCAUUGUAGGUACGAUAGGGUCACGAUUAGAGAGGUCAGGAAUAGACCUGACUUCGGUUGGAGAAGCUGGUGGAACUCGACUGUGUGCGGGAGCGUGUUGAGUUAGUUCUGGCUGAUUUGGCAAGUCGGUAGAAGGCAAGCCUUCCUUUGGGAAGUAGAUAGGUGUCUUGAAAAUAGGCAAAGUGGUAGCUGAUAGUUUGGCCAAGUCUCGCACUUGGCGUAAUUCUUCCCUCAAAAUCUCGAGUUCUUGCUCCAUGCGAGUCAUUUUCCCCUUAGAUUUUGGAUGUCUGUCAUGUUCCGAGAAUCUCCGGGGUUCUCAAUAGGUAUCAUUAUGUUUGCAGUAGUGUUGAACUCGUCUUUAUCAGUCAUCUUUCCUUUGGAUCGAAGGUUGUAUCGUGAGUCAGCCAGUUUGCAAGUCGACACAAAUUAACGUACUUUUGGGGAUGAAUGAUGAAAAAGCAAAGAAAACAAAGAAAAAGGGAAACUAUGUUAGUUUGGGAAAUAUUGAAAGAUGUAACAAAUAUGUAAGUGUAACACAUAUAUACGCCAAUUUGACGACAUUCAAAAUGCGUCCUAAUAUAGAACCUCUUUUUGUCUGAGGUAGGCCUACGUUGCAAUUAGUUUGAUAAUAAAUUAUCCAUUUAAACACAUUUUAGAUUUGGAGCAAACAUAACUUUAUUGAUUAAGGUAGUCUUGGAUGUUAGAUUGAGGUAGGUGAUCAGAAGCCUAUUAAAUGAAAGUACGGGGAUGGCCACAAGGCAUACAAGAGGGAUAGGCCACAUGGCACUUUGAGGAGCUUAUGAAAGAGUUCAAAGAAGAAAGAUGAUCUAUGGCCAGGUUGGAGCAUCAUCAUUAUCAUCGUCCCCAUCAUAAUAUGGCCCUGUGUCACAAUCCGAUUUCUCAAGUCAUGAUGGCACCUACUAUAACCCACCGGCAGGUAAGCCAACUCGUAACCCGGAACAACAAGUAAUGGGUUUGAGGGUAGAAACUAAACAAGAGUAGGCAAAUAACAAUAUAAACAGGCAGAAGCAAACCAAAACAUAUACAUAAAUAAAAAUCCCUCCCAAAACCUGGAAGUCACUAGUACAGAGCUACUACAAAAUGAGUACAAGUCCCAAAAGUGGACAACAGAGAUUGGACUGUCUAAGGAAGGUAAAAGACAAGUCUAUAUAUACAGAUGGAGACUGAAAUAGUACAAAACGUCGUGUGCUCACUCCCGUCUCCGGAUCAGUCUGCUUCAAGCUCGAUCAACACUGGCUACUAGUGCCCAGACCUGCAUCACGAAACAGAUGCAGAGCGUAGCAUAAGUACCAAACAAUAGGUACCCAGUAGGCAUCAUAGGCCGACUGAACUUGAAAAGUAAAGGCAGUAUGAAAAGAAGGAAUAACACAAAUCGAAGUCAAGAAUGAAAAUCUAACUAACAAUGGAAUGCACACGAGUUUAGAAAGAACAAACUGAAGCAAUCUAUAAGCUAACUACACCUAACUGGACCCCUUAAGCCCAGAAGGUACACUCGUGCGUAAAUUAAAUAAAAACCCGAACGGACCCCCAUAAGCCUGACGAGUACAUAGAAUAACUAUAACUAAAGAAAAUUGCAUAUGGGAACCCAAGAACGGAGAAAACGAAUCAGAACCUCAACCCCAAUUAGUAAAAUCUGACAGUACGGAGGCCGGACUUCGAACCGGAUGCUCACCAAAAGUACCCAAGUAACCAAUCACAAGUAUUAAGUAUCUGAGUCCGGAACUCUAACCAGAUGCUCUAUAUAAGUAUCUGGGCAAUAGAGGCCGGAACUCUAACCGAAUGCUUUAUAUAAAUAUCUGGGCAAUAGAGGCCGAAACUCUAAACCGGAUGCUCUAUAUAAGUAUCUGGGCAAUAGAGGUCGGAACUCUAACCGGAUGCUCUAUAUAAGUAUCUGGGCAAUAGAGGUCGGAACUCUAACCGGAUGCUCUAUAAAGGUGCUAAUGUAGCUGCUGAAAGAGUCCCAAUCGAUCUAUUCCCAUAAAUGUCCGUGGAUCGCCGUCCACACCUAGCCAAUCAAUGUAAGUCCUUGGAACCGAAUUGAAAAUCAAAUUCAAAUCGCGAAGCAUAACUAGUGUCGUCGACGUAACUCUUGAAGCUGUAACAUCGGGGAAAUAAGGAUAACUAUCAUCAGAGCAAACGUAUCGCCUAGCUAAGGCCCAAACUAUCAGGCUCAAGUCUGCUACACUAUUCUACAGGGAUCUAAGCCGGCCGAGCGACGUUGGGGCAAAACUAAGGCCUAUCAGAUCUGAAUCAUGUAUUUCUAAGGCAAGCCCUAGUCAAACCUAAACUAAGGCCCAAAUGCUUCAACAAAUAGUCAUCGAGCAUACAAGUAUUCCACAUAGCAAAGAGGGACAAUUAAUAACACAAAUCAUGCUCACAGUUACCCGAUCAUUCCCGAAAUAGGCCAAAAACAUGAUUUCUAAACACCUAUGCAUGAUUCAAUCACUACCAACCCAAAUCCUAACUAAUCAAUAUGCAUUCACACUCUCAAGCUCAAUCUAAGAGAGGGAAACCGUAACCUACCUGUAGGUCGGUCACACGCGCCCCAAAAUCACUUUUCCAGAGCUUUCCCUUUCCAAACGUCCUCAAAACGCUGCCCCGCUAUCAAAAGUAGAGUCGCAACGUUAUUACGGUCGUUUAGACACCAAAAUCACAAUAAACGGAGACAGACCAAUUUUGGGGUCAAAACGGGGAAAGUAGGACCCGCGCUGGAAAUUCCGGAAUUAACCCCAAAAGUGGGUCCUAACCAGUUCCCCCAGCUCAUGUUCCAAAAUGGGACACAAUUCGGGGCUCGGGAACAACACAAUAUCAACAUGCAACCAAAACUCAAUUUACACUAAAACGGAACAACAAUAACAACAACUAUUUACAAGAAAAUACCAGAAACGAUGGUCCAGAUGCUGAAACCAAUCACACCAUGACGAUCCUCACGAAAAACCCCACAAUCUAGGCUUUUGAAUCACCAGAUUCGCACCUAAAUGACCAAGAAAUCACCUUCUAAAAUUUCCCAAAAAUUGAGCUCGAAAUGAGCUAAGACAGCAGCUAAAACACAACUUUUUACCUCCAACAAAAAUUUAAAUAAAAAAUCUAACCACGCAAACACAUUCUCCUUGAAAAACCACUCAAGAUAGCCCCAAGAAUCACCGAAAUCGGAUCUAAAAUGACUGAGAUAUCAAGUCUCAAAAAUUCCCAAAAUCAAGCUCACAAAAAGGGUGUGGCAGUAGGUAUUUCAUGAAAUUUACCUCAAAUGGAGACCCCAAAUCAGUUUCCGAGCUCACUAACGCGUUCCUUGCGAAAAACCCCACAAGAUGGACCUUCGAAUCACUGAAAUCGAACUUGAAAUUAGAGAGUUAUAAAGGUUUGAAGUUGAGAAAUGGGGGCUGAAAUAUCACCUGCACCAGCUAUAUAUAUAUUAGCUGAAAAGCUGAUUUUUGCCAACUUUAAAAUGUCUGACGGGGUGUUCGGGAUUCGUUCGGAACCCGAUAAAGAUAAAACAGAUAUUCUACCCAACUAAAUUUGAUAUUCCAGACUCAACGGCGCACUUGAAAUUCCCAUCAGAGGUCAUCUCGAUAAAAAGUGGGUCCCACUUCCAAAUGUUAUUUUAACCAAAAUCCACUAAGGGGCUCGAAAUGAGUCCGGAGGCCUCGGGAGUCGAACGAAAGGUCGUUCUAGACCAAACUCAACAUUCCGGAGCUAACCGCGCUGAUGAAAUUUUCAUCUAAGCACGUUUUUCAAGAAUGUUGACCAAAGUCAACCAUAGGCCAAAUUUCAAAGGCUAAAACGCCUAAUGGUCCAAACUCGCAUCGAAGGCCUCGAUACUCGUUCCAACUAUACUAUCAGCCUAAUUUGGCCACUCCGGAGCUGAUGGAACCAUCAAAAUUCUCUUCUGAGGUCGUCUUCUUAAACUUUUGAUCGAAAAUGAUCGUUCAAGGUUUAUAAGCUCCAAAACACAAAAACUCGCACUAAGACCAAACGAACGACCAGCUGACCGAACUGUCAGUCCCAGCAAGUCAUAAAUGACUUGGGGUCACUACAGGAAUGCUCUAAACGACACAUAGAAUGCAAGACACAGAAAUGACCAGGAGGGUCAUUACACCCUAGGUGGUACUCUGGAGACUCUUCAAGGCCGUGCUUGGGUGACAUAUCUAUCACCCCUCCAUCUCUUAGGUCAUAGAUAUUAGAACCCAUUUCAGAAACCUCCAUGUGGUCUUCCUCCACCUCUUCUUCUCGGUCCUCUUCAGGAUCCUUUUAUGGGUCUUCUUCGGGAUCCUCUUCUGGGUCUUCUUCAGGGUCCUCUUCCGGGUCUUCCUCUGGAUCCUCUUAUGGGACUUCUUUCUCUUCUUCUUCUUCAACCACCUGGAUUAAAUAAUCAAUGGAUCCAAGAACAAUCUGAUUAUACAUGGGUGUGGUGAAUCCCAUGCGAGGAAGCACUGAUUCUCUAACCCAAUCAAUCUGUUGGUUAUCUACAAAUCCUUGAUGCCCUCGUACGCUUGGAUGAGCCAUAUGACUCACAACAUUCAGCCAAGCAUAAUAUUCCGGUGUACACCAACUUUUCUCUCCUAUGUCUAAAUCAAUCAUGUAUUCCCACUCAGCUUGCAUAUUUCUUAUCCAUUCUAGUGAGACUAAAGUAAAAACCUUUUCAUGUGAUUCCAUGAUCGACCAUAGCGGAAUGUCUUGGAUAACUCCAAAUUGUUGUAUAACCCGAAGAGGUGCAUAUGGUUGAAUGUCCCUCAGCCCAAUUAACUCGAUAAAGUAAAAAUAUUGAGUCCUUGCAAACGUCAAUCCUUUUAUCCAAGAAAAUUUCUAUUGGAUGGCAUCUCAUGUAAGGUUGUUCAAGAAUGUACGCCACUCUUCCCUUCCUAUCGGCACGCCCACCCAAUUUCGGAGACGAUAUUCGUGGAUUUCGAUCUUGUUACGUGCACCUAUGUAGUAAUCCAAUUGUGGAUCACGACGAUAGAAAUGUUACCUCGCCCAAAUCUGUAGUAGCAUACUGCAACCCCUAAAGAAGUCGUGCCCUCUAAUGCAGGCUGUCACUGAACGAAGAACUUAAGUGAGGAUCAUGGGCACCAAAGAAAAUCUUUGCGGAUUGUAAAAGAUGCUUAUAACCAUCGGCAAUAUGUUGAUGUCGACAGAAUGGGACCUUAUCGGGAAUACCGUGAUUCCUAAAAAAUUCAUAAUGAAUACUCUUGGUCUCAUAUGCACCCAUACUUCGCGGGUACAUAAAAAUUCGUGUUGGUAUUCAUCGUAACCUUCUAGACGCCCAAACCUCUGAAAGAGAUAGUCUAACUCGACCUUUUCACCGUCCACAUAUCUAAAUGACCGAAAUAUAUGCAGAUCUAGGAGAUUUAGAAAAUCACCUGUACAGAUGGCUGAUGGGAUCAUUGGCAACCUCCCUCUAAUUAGUAGUUCGGUAAGACUACUGAACUUUUCCAGUGUAGGAGUGAUCUCAAAAUCCAAGAAUUUGAAAGUUAUGGUGCUCGGUUCCCAAAACCCCAUUAGUUGAGUAGCGAAGACUUUGUCGCAUUGUAUCCCUAAAAGUAACAAUAAUGCUUCCAAAUGCCCUCGAUUCUCAGCCCCAUGUAUCCUGCGAAUUUUUUGCCACCAAUUAUGUAGGAUGUGUGGCACUGAAACGACCAUUUGGAUAUUCGGCAAGUCUUGGUUGAGGUUCAUUUGAAAAGAGGGUAAAGGGUGUGAUGAGUUUAUUUGCUCCAAAUCUGUAAAGUGUUUUAGUUUGGAUAAUUUAAAUCAAUUUCACACAAAAUGUAUGUCAUCAAGUUUUAAAGAAGAAACUCAUUGACAUUUGGGUGGUUUCCUAAACACAACGACAAUACCUCAUAUUAUCUUGCCUAAGGCUAUGCAACAUGACCUAUUUCUAGAGUAUGAUUUUUUCCUAGAUGAUUGAGAGUGACACUGGUAAUUGCGAGAGGGCGCACUAUCUUAAUUGCACCAACUCUGAAACUAAGGAAUCCAAAGAGAGUUUCGGAGGAGUGCAGGAACACCCCUCGCGUGUUCAGUGUGUUUUGGGUACGGCUAAAAACUCGAUAAAAAGUGCAGAUGAUAGUGUAGGAAAUCAGUAACAAGUAAUGUUUUAGAACAAAUAAGGAACACAAGCUUGAAUUUCACUUGUGACCUUUUAGUCAAAGCAAUAUAUCAAUAAUAAGCUGAAAAAUAAACAUGUAAUCACAAAUGUUGCUCCUAAAUUUUUUACUAAGGUUAAAACCAUUGAUCAUUCCCCAGUAGAGUGGCCAAGCUAUUGCACCCCAAUUUCGAACUAGCCGAAACAGUUCACAACAUAAUAUGGCUGACACUUUGAUUUUUGAAAAAAAUAUUUGUUUUUUUAGAAUCGCCACCUAAAUUUAAAGGUAAAUAUUAGGAAAACUAUUUUUUAAAUGUGUAAAUGUAAACUCUGUUUUGAUUUGCGAAACCAGUGAAAUUCUGAGUAAGGAUUUUGGUUACUCGAGGGGAAGGUAUUAAGCAUCCCUCAGAGGAUAUCCGAAGGUAGUCCUUAAACUCAAUUUAGGAAAAUAUAAUUAGAAAAACGUAUUUAUUUAUUUGCUUUAAAAUCAAUGGUAAGUAAAUUUUAUUAGUUAAAAAAAAAGUAAAAUACAAGGUACGACAUAUAUAUGUCUAUUAAAUAAAAUUAAUAGUAAUAUGUUUAUCAUACGGUAAAAAAAUAAAAAUAAAUGUACUAAAAUUGUAUGACAAUUUUAUAUGUUAAAAAAUAUAGAUGUGUCUUAUAUAAAUGUAUAAUAAAUGUUGAGUUUAAAGUGUGUGAAAAUUUGUUAUUUUAUUUAUAUAUAGAAUUAAGGUGUGAAAGAAAAUAAAAUAAAAUGAGAUAGUAAUCAGGUGUAAAUGUUAGUAGUAUGUGUGAUGUAUAAUUUGAAAAAGAAAAAAUAAUAAUAAUGAUACUAAAUGUCAAAAUAUUAUAUAAAGUUUGUGAUCUUAACUAUAUUUAUUAUGAAGUAUAGUAUAUACAUGUAUGUUGUUUUAAAAAAUAAAAUAAAAUAUAUGAACGUUUGUUAUUUUAUUUGUAUGUAGGAAAAAUAGUCAAUAAAGUAUAGUUAGUAAAAUAAUAUGUACAUCAAAGUGUAGGAAUUUAUAGUCUAUAAAAAAUAAAUAACAUUCGUAAAAGUGAUAGUAGAUAGGAGAAAAACUAAAUAGAAUUAAUACCUUUAUGUGCAUGACAUAUAUAUGUAUGUACCUUUUAUUUUGUUUUUGAACCUCUUGACAUGUCUAAAAUCUCGAUAUAAUUGUUAAGAAAUGAAAUAUUUUGGCAAUAUUUGAUUAGAAAAAAUGACAAUAGCAAAUAUAUUUUCAUAAGGGGUAGGGUGGGGGGGGGGGUGACGUAAAGAAUAUAAAAUAGGCCUAACUAUUGGGACUUAUUUUAUAUUUAUUUUGUUGCUAAAAUGUAAGGGUCUAUUUCCCUACUUACUUUCUUAAGAAAAUAAAAUAAAACUCUAGAAGGUAAUAACCUUAGCCUUGUGUAUUUCUAAAGGUGGUUAUUUUAACCUUUAAAUUAGUUUCAAAUUUAUUUGGGAGUUUUAAAUGAUAAAUUAUCCUUAACAUAAAGGCCUAAAUGAGUGUUGACAAGUAAAGCUAUUAAAUAUUUUGGUCCUUUUAAAAUAACAUUUCUUCUUCCUUUUGAAAUUAGUAUUUUCAAGCACCUUUAGAUUUAGCUACUGCACUUUUAAACUCUUAAACUAUAGUGGUUAGAUAAAAAAUCUAUAUCUUUAGGUCCCAAAAAUUGGUGUUUUAACUAAGAAAAAGAACUACAUUUUUUUUUACACUAAAAUCUGCUCAAUAAGGUUGUUAAGAGGUGCAGUGUUUUAACUUACAAAACCAGCAAUUUUCAAGUAAAAAUAUCUGCACUUUUGUACCUAAAAAAUCUGCAUCAAAAACUCUCAUAACAAAGUGUUUUUUAGUUCCAAAAAUACACAUUUUUUGCACUAAAAAUCUGCACGUUAAAAGCUGCAAAUUUUACCUCUUGAAAUCUGGAUUUUUUCAAACUAAAAUCUGCACUUUUCAACCUCAAAAUCUGCAUCCAUUAAGUUGCUAAGAAAAUCGUUAUCAACUCUUAUUAAAACAAAUCUUAAGUUGGAUACAUUCUUUUUUAAAGAAAUAAAAAGAAGUCAUUCCCAAGUUCACUUUUCUUAAAGGCUAAGCUUUUAUGACAAAAAAAGAUAUGAAAACUUCGUUAGAAAGCGUCGUCCUAAGCGAAAUGGUCAUAUUAAAAACCCAAUAUCUAGAGGAAUGGGAAGGUUCAAGACUAUAUCUUACUAUCUCUCUUAGUUUAUUUGUACAAACCCAAACAAAAUAAAAGCAAGCAUAAAUAUAUGUGAAAUACUCAAUAUAAGGCUAUGGAAAGGAGGAUAUUAAAAAAUCUGCUUUUAUGCAGAUCUCUUGGAAGUAAAUGAUGCCCCUUAGGCUUCAAUAAAAAAAUAAAAUUACAAACAACAGAUCAUGCAUAUUAUAUAAUCAAAAUAGAUUUAUCUUAGCUUUAUGAACAAAAGAUGUCUUUCCACAUAUGACAUUUAAACAUACACGCAAAAUAUGCCUGAUAUGAAUAUGUAUUUUUGUUCAUAUAACCUAUUCUAUAUGUUCAAAUCUGGUCAUCAUAGAUUGCAGUGACAGAGUGAGGAGUAAUCUUGUAACGACCCGCUAGGUCGUUUUGAGCACUAAGACUAUUUUGACUCUUUCCAUAAAAUUUUAAAUAGAAAAUUUGAACUAUUCGGUAACUACAAGUGUAUAGUUGACGAAUAUUUACUAAAUAAUUAAUGUAAUUAGUAGUUAAUGGGCCAAUUAGUAGUUAACUAUUCGGUAUUUUAUGUUUGUCUUGGAUAUUAGAAGUUAUAUUGGGUGUAUGAGUUAGAAUUAAUGGGAAGUUAUUGGGUAAUAAUUAGUAUGUAGUUUUUGGAUUGGAAAAAAAGAGGAAAAGAAGUCAAGUUUUGGAGGUAUUGACCACGUGAUAGGUUCUGAUGGGGGAAAUGACAUAAGUUUUAGUUAGGAAAAAUUAUUCAUUGGCAAAGUAAAACUAUUACAUAAUUGGUUUAUGUAUAUUUUCCGUUGUUAAGGUUACCGAUUGUGAAAUUAUUGAUUUUAAUUUCAGAGUUUUGUGAUGGUUAUUAACUUAUUACUUUAUAAUUGAAGUUUUAAUAAUUUGAGAUAGGUACUUAAAUAUUAGGGCAUUGUAUUAUAUGAAACCAUUAGUUUUAUGAUAUUUUAUAAAUUGAGACAUAAUCUUAAGCUUAAUUUAUUAGGAAUAUGAGAUUUGGAUUAUUUAGUUGGCACCAAGAUUUAUGAAUUUAAUUAUAGAUUAGGGGAAUUUUUUAUUUAGGAUAGACAUAUAAUAAUAUGGGUGUCUACGAACUUGCCUACUUACGAAUAACACAUAUUUGAUAGAUUAAGAACAUUCUGAAGCUUUACGAAAGGGAUAGGCAAAAUCUUGAGAAUUCGUGACACGUGUUCGACAUUCAAGGUAUGUUAAGACUUCCUAGACUUCAUUGAGGGACGUUUUCUAAUUAAAUAUUAAAAAUGAAAUAGACAAUGGGUAAGGACAAAGGAUGGGGUCUCGUACCAAUGGUGUGAAGGCAUUGGUACGAGUGCCAAUGUUAUUAAUGGGAAAGUUUAUUACUAUAAUAUGAUAGAUUAAAAUUCGAGAAUGCCAAAGCAUAUGGGAAUUAGCUGAUGUGUUUAGUGACUUGAUUUCUUUUGUAUGGUUGUGUUUCUUUAUUGAACCCAUAUGUUUGUGAUAAUUUAGGUGAUUAUAUGUCAUAGCGACAUUUGAUUUAUUGAAAUGCUUCAUCAUCCCUUGUUAUUAAUAUAAUAUUGUGCACAUGCAUUGACAUGAGAUUGAGUAUGAGUAAAGGUCUAACACAUGGAGAUCAUCCGUGUUGAGAUUGAGUAUGAUUAUAAUUUGGGCACGUGGAGAUCGUUUGUGCGAGUGAUUGAUUUUGAUUAUAAGUUGGGCACGUGGAGAUCGUCUGUGCUGGGAUUGUUUGAUUUUAUGAUAGUGCGUUGAGAUCGUCCGCACAGACACGUGGAGAUCGUCCGUGUCGGUAUAUGGACUUCGUGAGUCCCCCAUGGGUCAUGAACUCUCUAUGUAUUUUCGAGGAGUAUCAUGUAUAUACAGUUGGGAGAGUACUUGGCAUCUGGGGCAUAUCAUUCAUGGUGUCACAUUGCAUUACAUCUCAUUACAUCCCUCAUUCUUGUUGAUUAUGUGUGUUAUUGGUGGUUGAACAUUUCGUGACAUUUGAUUAUCUCUAUUGAUGAAAACUUUGUUGAUAAGUAUAAUGUGGACAUGUAAAAAAAAAUUAAAGGAUUAUUUUCUUAUAUACUCCUGUCACUACUUCUUUGUUGUCGGUCUAUGAGAUAUACUGGGUACACGUGGUUUCGUACUCAUACUACACUUGUUGCACUCUUUUGUGGUGCAGAUUGUAUUUAGAAUUCAAGGGUAUUUCUUGGAGCUGGAGUCUGAGUUUGGUUUAUCCUCUUAGAGUUGUGGUGAGCUGUUUGGAUGUUCUGCGGCUCAUACCUUCAUCUAUUUCUAUUUAUUAGGUUGUUUUGGUAUUCUGAUAGGAUAUUUCUUAUGUUUAGACUUGUUAUAUAAUUAGAUACUUGUAUUGACUUUUAGAAGCUUUUGUACUUAUGACACUAAAAUCUUGGGGUAGUAUUUCAGUUUUCCACAUUUUAUUUAAAAGACUUAGUAUGUAGGAUAUUCACUUGUUACUUACUUUUCCAUACUUUAAGUGGAAUUGGUUAACUUAUUGGAUUGGCCAACCUAUCGGUUGGGAAUAUAGGUGUCAUCACGACUUGUGAUUUUGGGUCGGGACAAAUCUACUCAGUUAAACACCCCGAAACAAUCAUAAAACAGAAAUUCAGAAGGGAUACCAACAUUUAACAUGACGUAACUAACAACACUAUAUAGCAGGAGCAACAAAGUAUUCCCAGAAAAGAUGAAACAUGAGAGAUCAAUGUUUGAUUAUACAAUAGAGAUGAGAAGUUUGGUUAACUCAUACGAAUUUUGAUGAUGCCUAGUGACUUACAUUACAACCUGAUAGCCCUAUAUUAUUCUUAGGUAGUCAUAAUAGAGUGGAAAGAUUUUCACGUAUUGCAUAUUAACGACAACUGAAACGGAAAGGAGAGGACUUCAUGUUGGUCUCUUAACUAAAGAGCUUUAACAGACUUAAAGUCUAGGCCAGAUUACAAGAACUUGACAGAAACAUCUAAAGUAUCGAAUAUGCUUAAAUACUAUAAAUAACUUAAGCUAUUUUAGCAAAUAAAAUGGAGUUCUAAUAAACAAAAAAAAACAGAUUUAUUAUGUAUCGACACUCUUGAGAGUAAAGCAGUAGUCUAAUCCAAUAUAUAAAAAUCUAUUCUAAUUUGAGUACUUCCACACUACCAUGCAUAAGAACACCAACAUAAGAGAGAAAAUCGAUUCCAUAUUGAAAAGUUGAAACAGUAGCAGGUGAAGGACUGAUUUUAAGCGCUAGAAAUGAUCAUCUAGACAAAGCUUGGUUGUACUAGAAGGAGUAAACAAAAUUUAGAAUUGAGACUCCUCAAACUUUAAAUGGAAUCUGACUUGCGGAACAACAAAAUAACUCAUGAGAUAUCUAAGGUGCAACACCUUGGCCUAAACUUGGAUAUCAC
rnacentral:lncRNA from 1 species